rnacentral:rRNA from 1 species
GGGAGGCACGGGGCGCAGGCCGACGCCUCGCCGGUGUAGGCCGACGCCGGCCGGUCACCCUCUCCCGUCCUCUGCCGGACCUCCCUCUCCUCUCCUCUCCCCUUUCUCUCCCUCUCAUCUUCCUAUCUCGGGGAGAAGGGAUGCGGCGGCCGGCGGCUAUCCGGACGAGCAGGAAGGAGGGAGGAGGUGCGGCACUGUCGAGGGAGGGAGGAAGGGAGGAGGCGCGGCGCUGUCGAGGGAGGGAGGGAGG